UCGAUGCCGGCCAGCAGUUCGUCGCUGAGGGUCAGCUCGAGGCUGGCCAGGUUGCUGUCCAGCUGUGCGAGGCUGGUGGCGCCGAG
rnacentral:tRNA from 1 species